CUGUGUUCUGGACUCAGUCCUUAUGAUGAGAGCCUUAGAUAAUCCCGGGUUGUCCCGGACUAUAAUCUGCCCACACGUCACGGUGUCUCCUUUCUCCUGCAGGAACAACUGUCUGAAGCUGGAAGGCCUAGAGUGUGACGUCACAGUUUUCGCAAUAACCGCGGACUCAGAAGAACAAGCGUCGGGUUCAGAUCGAGUUCUGCAGCAGGUCAAGAGUCUCCACCUCAGGUCUGUUCAUCCCCGAGGAUCAGAGUGAGUACAAACGGACAAAGCCUCCGCCGCUCGGUCCCGCUGUCGCCGGUUCUUGAACCAGUUGCUGACCUGAGUGGUGAUGGACCGGGGCAACGGGAACUUCCUGCGGACCCGGUACUUGCCCACGGCGCCCAGCGGGCGGCCCCGCAGCUUCUCCGCCUCGAUGUAGUGCGCCUUCAGCCACAGCUGCUGCAG